AGGGAGAGUAUGAAGAUAGCGCCUGCCCUCCAAGGUCUCUGGAAGGGACUAUAGUCUGCAGCUACUGGUAUGUUUCAUUAAAAGCCUGCCCCUCAGGCUGCAGCCAUGAUGAUAAGCUAAUAGGCCUUCUUCACAGCAAGACAGGCUUCUGGAUCUGUAGCCUAGUGCUGUGCCCUGGAGGUGGUAGCUAAGAACUCUUCCUCCUUCAGUUAAGGUCUUGUGAGACCCUCACGUGUAAGCCAGAUCCAGGUGGUGUUGAGGUGUCCUGUGGCAACACCUGCAAAAAUUGGGAUAUAGGCUCCUUUCUGGGUGAUAUGGACUAUAACAAUCCCAUGGGAGCAGAUUUGUAAGCUCCAGAGCAGGUAGUCAUGAGGUCCCCCUGCUCCUCCCGCCCCUGCUGCCCCAUGUCACAGCCACAAAGAUCUGGGCACCAGAUGCGUGUAAAAGCCCCCUUCUUGGAUAUUCUGGUGCUCUGGAGCACAGCAAAGGGAGAGUGGAAAGAUGGCCUCACCUGUUUCCAUCCCUGGAGCGUGUUCUGGCAGGUUCCUCGAGGUAUGUGUUAAAUUAGGUGCCUGCCUCUCAGGUCAGCACUUUAAACAGGUGAGCCUCCUCCACAUGAUUAACAGCUUGAUGUGCUGCCUCUGAACUGGGCCCAGGGGGGCAGGUAACCUGAUACAAGGGCCCUUUAAGAGAUGCCUCUCAGAGCGCUGCAAUUUGUGCAUCACCGGACAUGAGCUCUGUUGGUUUUCAUCAUUAGGACAUUUGGGGGCUCGUCUCUCAGGGGCAGGUCCCAAAAGGCUGUCAUAACCACGCCAGCUGCACUAGGUGUCACUGUGUGAACUUCUACUGAAUGAAAGAUGAAAAAGAAAAGAGAAGAAAGACUGACCAUUGAUGUUCUCUGUGGGUGGCAGGCAGAUUUGACAUCCUUCUUCUCCAGUGAUUUUCCAGAGUGAUGAAGCUACCUAUUAAAGAAUGCUUUUCAAAAAGCCGUAAGUACGUGACUUUCAUGCAUCUAUAAAAUGAAUAAAUCUCAAAGACGUUGUUUAAUUAAU